GCAAGGGGAGUGGCGCACGGGUGAGUAACACGNUGGGAACCUACCUUCUGGUACGGAACAACCAAGGGAAACUUUGGCUAAUACCGUAUACGACCUCCGGGUGAAAGAUUUAUCGCCGGAAGAGGGGCCCGCGUCCGAUUAGGUAGUUGGUGGGGUAACGGCCUACCAAGCCGACGAUCGGUAGCUGGUCUGAGAGGAUGACCAGCCACACUGGGACUGAGACACGGCCCAGACUCCUACGGGAGGCAGCAGUGGGGAAUAUUGGACAAUGGGCGCAAGCCUGAUCCAGCCAUGCCGCGUGAGUGAUGAAGGCCUUCGGGUUGUAAAGCUCUUUCACCCACGACGAUGAUGACGGUAGUGGGAGAAGAAGCCCCGGCUAACUUCGUGCCAGCAGCCGCGGUAAUACGAAGGGGGCAAGCGUUGUUCGGAAUGACUGGGCGUAAAGGGCGCGUAGGCGGUUCGUUGCGUCAGAUGUGAAAGCCCCGGGCUCAACCUGGGAACUGCAUUUGAUACGGGCGGGCUUGAAUCCAAGAGAGGGUGGUGGAAUUCC
rnacentral:rRNA from 1 species